AAUGAACGCUGGCGGCGCGCCUAAUACAUGCAAGUCGAGCGAGAAGACGUAGCAAUACGUUUGUAAAGCGGCGAACGGGUGAGGAAUACAUGGGUAACCUACCCUCGAGUGGGGAAUAACUAGCCGAAAGGUUAGCUAAUACCGCGUACGCUCCUUGGACUUCGGUUCAGGGAGGAAAGCGAUACCGUGGGUAUCGCGCUCUUGGUUGGGCUCAUGUCCUAUCAGCUUGUUGGUGAGGAACGGCUCACCAAGGCUUCGACGGGUAGCUGGUCUGAGAGGACGAUCAGCCACACUGGCACUGCGACACGGGCCAGACUCCUACGGGAGGCAGCAGUAAGGAAUAUUGCGCAAUGGGCGAAAGCCUGACGCAGCGACGCCGCGUGGGGGAUGAAGGUCUUCGGAUUGUAAACCCCUUUCGGGAGGGAAGGAUGGAACGAGCAAUCGUUCGGACGGUACCUCCAGAAG
rnacentral:rRNA from 1 species